UGGGGCGUAGCCAAGCCGGUAAGGCACGGGACUUUGACUCCCGCACGCGUUGGUUCGAGUCCAGCCGCCCCAGCCA
rnacentral:tRNA from 1 species